UACAAAGGUCUCAAGCGUUGUUCGGAUUCAUUGGGCGUAAAGGGUGCGUAGGCGGCGCGGUAAGUCGGGUGUGAAAUCUUGGAGCUUAACUCCGAAACUGCAUUCGAUACUGCCGUGCUUGAGGACUGGAGAGGAGACUGGAAUUCAUGGUGUAGCAGUGAAAUGCGUAGAGAUCAUGAGGAAGACCAGUGGCGAAGGCGGGUCUCUGGACAGUUCCUGACACUGAGACACGAAGGCCAGGGGAGCAAACGGG
rnacentral:rRNA from 1 species